rnacentral:lncRNA from 1 species
UUUAUAAAAGGUACCCGCCCCAGGCCCCGCCGCAGGUCCGCGCUCGCGUGGGCCCGGGUUCACUGGGGCACGGCUUCUGCGCAGUGUCUGCACCAGGGUACCGGCCCAGGCCCUGUGCGUACCAUUGCGAGGCACCUGACCCGGAACAACCUUCUUGCUUCCUGCGUGAGUUCCCUCCAAAACGGACUGGAAUCCACCCUGUCCCACCUCCUCUGCGGUGAGUGUGGCGCAGUCACUUGCCUCCAGCUUCCAAACCUUCCUCCUGCAUUUUCCACCUUCCAAGCCUUUGCCCACGCUGUUGCCCACUGCACUGUGCCAGGCCUUUCUUCCCUCCGUGCAGAUUGGAUGCUCUCUCCUUUAAAACACCCGCGGGGAGAGGAAAGAACACCGGGAUCCGAGUCUUAAGACUUGUGCUCCAGAGUAUUGGGCUGCUGGGUGACUUUAGGCAAGUCCUUAACCUCUCUGAACUGAAGGCUCCUCCUCUGUGAAAGGGUGGUGGUAAUGCCUACCUCACCAGCCUUCUUGGUAUCAUCUGGGAGUCAGUGUUCAACAAAUAAGUGCCAAAGAACCUUUAUACUCUAAGGCAAGUUUUGAAGGAAGGGUAAUUACUGCUUUCUUCUUUUAAACUUAUUUUUCAUUUUUUUCCAGCACUGGGGAUUGAAACCAGGGGAUUGCACAAGCUUUGAGUCAGAUCUCUCUUCCUAAACCUGGUGGGUGGGACCUUUUGUUCCUUAGAUUUUUGUCCCUCUUUUACUUCCACCGGUGCUUUUUGUCUGAUGUUACUUUAGCUACACCAGCUCUAUCUUGAUCUUUAUUUGCUUGGUAUAACUUUUCAUACUUGUGGCCAUCCUGGCUUCAUAUAUUGUAGAUGUGUCAGUUGUAAACACAAUAUAUCUGGAAUUGUUUUAAAAAUCUGAGCUGACAUUACUGUGUUUUAAGCAGAAAGUUUAAUUCAUAUACAAAUGUAUGAUUAGGACUUAUUAAUUUAUUUGGUGCUGGGGUUGAACCUAAGGGAUGCUUUACCACUGAGUCACAUCUCCAGCCCUUUUUAUUAUUUUAAGCCAGGGCCUAAGUUGCUGAGGUUGACCUUGAACUUGCAACCGCCUACCUCAGCCUCCUGAGUCACUAGGAUCACAGGCACGCACCACCCAGGGCAGAUUCGACUCUUUUAUUUUAUUGUGCUUGCCAGUGGUCAAAUUUCUUUUUUUUUUUUUUGGCAUUUUUAAGAAGUGAUCAAGGUUUUCUUUUUUUCUUCUGUUUCCCCCCCACUACCAUUACUGGGCUUGGAAACUGAGUUGAGAGAAAACCUGAAUAAACUCUCUAGAUGUCACCUGCUCUAAGUUACUUGCUUUGAGUUGACUGCAGAUGUGUGGGUCAGGAUGGUGACAGUUGAUCCCCUCUAGCUGCUUUACCUGUUCUUGAUUAACCUCGAGUCACUUUCCCCAUGCUUCAGCCCAUGAAGAUCCCCCGCCCCAGCCUUGGGCAGCCAGAGUGAGAUCCCGUCCCCGUCUCCACAUGCUUGGCUGCCUCCCGACUCUGCUUUUCCAUAAAACUCCUGGCUUCAGGGAUUGGCAUCCUCCGUGGCGGGCAAAGUGAGCCUGGUUUGGCAACAACUGCACCUCCCCCAACCCUGCACCCCACAGCUCCUCCAAAGCCUUCCUCAGGCCCCUUCAUCACUGUGUUGGCGUUCGAGCAGGGAAGGAACCGUGUCCUUAUGAACAGCGUCCCAUGCCGAUGGCUGCAAAUGGGGGUUUUCUUUUCAUUCUCUUUGGAGGUUUUUGGCUCCCUGAAUCUUGAGCUUUGCCCUCUCCCCUUUGAAAACGUUCUGUCGUUCUCUCUGAACGCUGCUCCCCUCCCUCAACUCCUCAGGAACCAGCACCGCGUCUCUGUGUCUCUCCCUCCAGCCAGUUUCUUGACCUCUCUUUCAUUCAUUCCGUCUCUGGGUGGAGUCCUCACAUCUUUCAGGCCCCCGAUUCUCUCCUCAGGUGUCGUCUAUUCUAUGAAGGAACCUAGCCAUUGAGUUUCUGAUUUCGAUCGUUUUCCAUUUUUAAAGUUCUGUUCCCUUCUUUUAAAAUUCCACCGGCUUCCCAAGCUCCAUAUCACCACCGUCCAGCUCUGGGAGCAAGGCUCCUCUUUCUGGGCCUGUCCCCAGUUUCCAUGUUGUGGGCCGGGGAGCCACAGGUUCCCUGGCAGCAAGGAGGGUGCUGUCAUAUUGGCUCUUUUACAUUCUGGAUAAUAGGUAUUCUUCUGAAGAAAGUUUGAAAUAAAACAGAUUUAAAAGAAAUUUAAAUUAUUUUUUAGGUGAUAAACUUUAUAUGUGGUGCUGAGACUCAAACCCAGUGCCUCACACGUGCUGGGCAAAUGCUCCACCACUGAGCCACAACCCCAGCCCUAUAAAACAUUUUUUAAGUCACUGAUCUCAGAGCUCUAAGCUCUCCUCAAGCUCAAACCUGUGAUUCUGAGUUUUGAUUUGGAUGUUUUAUGACAACCCAUAGAUUCUGCAGAGUCUCUGGACUACGGCUGUGCCCACACCACCAAGCACCUGGAGACCUGGACCUCAGAGCUCUGCAUUGGCCAGUGAGGAUAACCUCUGUUUUGCUUCCUGAAAAUAUCCCUCUCUUCUGAAAGCUUGUAGAAAACACUCAAUAAAUGUUUGUAAACUCAUAAUAAAUGAAUAGAUGUUUGGAUAAGCAGACAGACUGGUCACCCCCUUCCUCACUCUGAAUAAUUGCAUGGUCAUACAGGCAAUGAGAUGGACAUUUAUUAAACAUUUAUACACCACUUUCAAGCCUCCCUAAUCCCUGAGUUAUGCAUUUUUUUCUAUCAGGAAACUAAGGCACAGUGAGGUUCAGAGACUGUCAUCUCUUAUGUAGCUGGUCCCAGGGUUCAUUUGGGAUUUAAAUCAAGGCUACAAGCUCUAGAGCCAGUUUGGAGACAGGCUGCGAGAGCUGGGACUUCUGAGCCAUUCUGGAGACUCUGGAGACAGGCCGGUGGUGAGGCCUGUCCAACAGGGACAGGCAGGGACCUGCUCGGAAGCAGUUUCUCUGGCUUCAUCCUGUGGUCGGCUCCACUUUAUGAAAACAAGAUGAUGUCCAAACCGGACAAGUGACUUCAGCUCUCCAGGAGUGCAUGUCACCUCUGUGUUGCUGUGACCGACCAAAGUGCUUGGUGGGAGCAACCCAGAGGAGGAAGUCUGUUUUGUGCCCAGGGUCUAGGUCCUUGGUUGGCUGACUCCACUGCUCUGGGCCCAAGGUGAGGCAGAACAUCCGGGUCGGGGGAAGGGAUGGCAGAGAGAAGCCGCUCAGCUCACCGCAGCUGGGAAGCAGAGGGAGGGGGAGGAGCCAGGGGCAAGACAUAUCCCCAAGGCAUGCCCCAGUGGCCUGCAGGUACCUCGCAGUGUGCAUCCUAACCAUUCCUCCAUCGCAGGGGUCAAGCUACAGCUCUCAUGACCUAACCACCUCGCCCUGACCGUGCCUGCAGUGCAAGCGCUUUCAGGAGACCUCUUAGAGCCAGAAGACCAGCCAGAGGCGAGAGGUGACCAGAGGCUAGAGGAGUUUCCUUCCUGUGGCUGACGCUGCUAGAAUGGCGGACACGGGCUGGGGUUGUGGUUCACGAGACAGCCCGGCCUCGUAGGCAGAAAGACCUGGGUUCCACCCCAGCACCUGAACAAACAAAAAUUCCAGAGUUGCCCCCGCCCCCAGGGCUGCCCUUGGCAUGACUGAGAGAGCCCAGCUCCUGGCCCUUACCUCGGCUGGCUUCUGGGGAACCCCUCCUGAGACAGCAGGCCUCCUCGGGCCCUUCCCCCAGAGAGUGGGUCAAACUUGGGGGAUGGGGACAAGGAACUGUGGUCUGUCAUGUACUGUCCCCUCUACUGCGCACAGGCUCUGCAUGGGCUGCUCCUGCUGCCCAGCCAGGCCGUGCCUCCCUCUCAUUCCCAUGAAAGCCUGACCCACUCCUGUCAGAGAGCAUGGACCCUGCAGGCCUUCCUGGUCCAGGGACCCACGAGAGAAGAGGAAAGGACUGGCCUCUGAGUUCCAUUCCUCUCGGCCACAGCGCCCUCCCCCAGGCCACUGCAGUCAUGAAGCUGACAUGUGUCUUCUAGCUCAUCUUUUUACCCCUUUCUGCGUGCACACCCAAGAGCGAAACGGGCGUGCCGUGGUGUUUCAGGGGUACACCAGCGCUCUCCUGUUGCACCCGCCUUCUGCAGUCUGUUCACAUCUGGGAGCAGCGGUGGCACGUGGUCAGGUUCGUUCACUGUAACUGCCAGGUGGUGUCCCAGGCGGUGAGUGGACCGUGGCCGAUCCGCUGUCUCCUGACGCGCUCUUUCCAGGCUUUCAUAGCCGUGGCCACCCAUUGUCCCCGGGCCCCAAGCAGCCUCCCCCAUCUGCCCAGAGGGCUCCUCCUUUCAGGGCUCCUGCCUCAGCCUGGAUCCUCCUGAUGACUCUAAGCAUGCCUUCCCUGGAGAGCAGGCACCAGGGCCCCACUGUGGGCCCAAGCCCUUGCCGGGUAGAGCUGCGCCCCUCCAGAAGCCCAGGAACCUGGGCCCAGGGGACAGAAGAGCAAGCUCUUAAUGGCCUCAAGUGAGGUGAGCCCUGGCACCCAAGGAGCUCUUGGACAUGAGUCAGUCUGUGGCCAGGACACAGGGGCUGCAGGACAAGGCCACCCCUUGCCUCCAGACCCAACAGUACCACUGGCUCAGGGAGCAGCUCACUGUGGACAGCGUGCUGUCACGCAGGCAUCCUGCCUGGGCCGCUCACUUUACCUGAACAUCACAGUUGGCUCUGGACAGGCAAGAUCAGCCCUUCCUGGGAGACACUGAAGGUACUAAGUGGCAGAGGAGGGUUCGAGCCAACGCCAAGUCCCCUGAUCCAGGUCCUGUGCACUGCCCAGCGCCUUCUCAGCUGUGGCCUUGGCCGGGCCGAGCCAAGCCGGGCUCUACCGGGUGUUCAAGGAGAAACCGCCCAGCACAGCCAGGAGAUUAAGAGUGGCACAAGAUGCAGCCUGGCCACGGACGUCCUCAGAUCUCCAUGCCUUGCUCUGCAGGCUGUGGUGGCUGCUGGGCGCUGCAGACACCUCCUGCCUCUAGGCCCGAGGCCCCGCAUCAAGUGACCUGAGCACAGGACCUCAGUGCCACGCUGGAUGAGGUCCGGAGCUGGGAGCGACCUGAAGUGCUCAGCAUUCUGCAGAAGGAUGACACAGACUUGGGGAGGCCUGGGGAGGUGGCCAUCACUGGUCCUGAGAGGCCUGACCCAGCCACACCCAGGAGUGACGUGCCCCAGGGUCUGCGUGGCACAGUGGGAGGCAGAGAAAGCCAGGGUUCCAGCCUAGGGACGAGGGAGACUUGAGGGGAGGGGAGGCCUUGGAGGUUAGGACAGGUGUGUUCAUGGGCUGGAAGCCACGGGGGCUCCUGGCCUCUCAGGGCACUUGAUUCCAGCAGCCCCUGGGACAGGGACCAGGAGACACAUUCCAUGUGAGGCCCAAGGAAGGGAGUCCAAGGAAGGGAGGUUGGGGACCAGGAUGUCCCGGGCACCAGGAAGGUGCUGCAGCAGGGCUGGCACGGGGGCUGCUUCAGUACCCUCGGGUGGCUUGACCUCUGCCCUCUGGGACUGCAAAGGGGUCCGCAGGUGGCUCUGGGGAGUCAAUUGUCUGAUAGGCACUAUGUUCCUGAGAAUGUCCAAGGAAAUCUGGGGGCGGGGGGUGGUGGCAGGAAAGAAAAAAAACAAGAGUGAGAAACUGGGAGACGUUCUGUUGAUCCCAAACCAAGAUCCAUCCCCCGUCCAAGGCCAGGGCUGGGCAUCCUGAUGCCAGGGAGAGUGGACAGUGGCAGCACCUAUAAGCCUCUAGCAUGCCCCGGAGCAGGUGUGUUCACGGCCUCACUUUGCCGAGGAAGCAGUCAAAGACUUGCCUGAAGUCAUUCAGCUCUACAUCCCCGACGCUGGGCCCUGGGGCCAGCGCUCCGUCUCCAGGGCACACGCUUCCCAGAGCAGCACAUGCUCAGGAAUCUGAGGGACACCCAGCCUGGACCCAUGGACUUCUUUCCAGUUCCUCUCCCAGGCACAGGGACACCACAUCCCCGUACCCCGGCGGCUCUGGAACUGGCGCUAUUGCCGCACCCAGAAAACCAGAGCUGGAGGCACCAGGCAGGGCAGCAGCCUCCGAGAGCCCCGCACGCCUCACUCCCACCCCCUCUGCACGUCUGUCCUGGGCGUUCAAGCACGUCCUAAAGGCUGGGGGCCUUGGUCUCCUUGUCUAUCUCCUGGGGCAGGGCUGGGCGGUGCUGAGGUCAGUGAGGACCAUUCCUACACUUGCCCAGCGCUCCCCGGGCCACCUGCACCUCUUCCCAAAGCAAAGAUGGAAGCCCCCGCCCCGCCUCCACCCAGAGUGCAAAAGGAGGUGUCAGAGGGAACAGGAAAAUGGCUCAGCCCCCAUGGAAGAGGGGGGGAAAGGGUUUCUGGAGGGUGGGGCUGGGCAGGAGGCGAGAUGGCUGCCCACAGGAAGUGACUGCCAUUUGGCGCUGGCUUCCCCCAGGUCCCAGCAACCCUAGCUCUCCCCGGACACCUCGAACUAUCCAUCAGAGAGACCCGCAUGUCAGGACAGCAGGGCUGCCGGGCACAGGGGAGGGGCUCUGGAAAGUGGCUCACACCUUGCCUUGCCGGUGCUCUGCACCAAGGGAAGGCCAGCCUGAGGCUGCUGCCCCCGACCUGUCUC